GGAAACUGAAGAGGAAGAUGAUACAAAUGAUGAGGACUUCAGUAUGGAAAUUAGGCAGUUUUCUUCUUCCUCCCAUCGCUUUUCAAAGGUCAAUUAAUUAUCUUUCUUGCAAACAAUACCAGUUAGUUUUUGUUGAUCUUUUCAGUCAUAAUUUAAAAUUCUCUCUUAAAUCUGAUAAUCUACUUUUUUUUUUUUUUUUUUAUUCCUUCUAACUAUUAUGCAUUACAAAAGAAAAUCAUUGCAUUUGGUCAGAAAAACCCACAUUCAUUGCAAUACAAAAUCUGAUUUUUCAUCUAUAGGUGUUUAGUAGCAUUGAUCAAUUAAUGCAAAGCAAAGUAGAAGAAAAGGAUGAUCCAGAAGAAAAAUCAAAGAACCUGAAUUUACCACCAGUGGAAUCACUAAGCUGGAGCUCUGAAUAUUCUGAAAUG